UCGUGGAGCGAUUUGUCUGGUUUAUUCCGAUAACGAGCGAGACUCUAGCCUACUAACUAGUUCACACAUUGCUACUGUGUUGUGCGACUUCUUAGAGGGAUUUUCGGUGUACAGCCGCACGAAAUUGAGCAAUAACA
rnacentral:rRNA from 1 species